GAUGAACGCUGGCGGCGUGCCUAAUACAUGCAAGUCGAGCGAACAGGCGAGGAGCUUGCUCCUCUGACGUUAGCGGCGGACGGGUGAGUAACACGUGGAUAACCUACCUAUAAGACUGGGAUAACUUCGGGAAACCGGAGCUAAUACCGGAUAAUAUAUUGAACCGCAUGGUUCAAUAGUGAAAGACGGUUUUGCUGUCACUUAUAGAUGGAUCCGCGCCGCAUUAGCUAGUUGGUAAGGUAACGGCUUACCAAGGCAACGAUGCGUAGCCGACCUGAGAGGGUGAUCGGCCACACUGGAACUGAGACACGGUCCAGACUCCUACGGGAGGCAGCAGUAGGGAAUCUUCCGCAAUGGGCGAAAGCCUGACGGAGCAACGCCGCGCGAGUGAUGAAGGUCUUCGGAUCGUAAAACUCUGUUAUUAGGGAAGAACAAAUGUGUAAGUAACUAUGCACGUCUUGACGGUACCUAAUCAGAAAGCCACGGCUAACUACGUG
rnacentral:rRNA from 1 species